GCAAGUCGAGCGAACUCUUCGGAGUUAGCGGCGGACGGGUUAGUAACGCGUGGGAAUAUACCCAAAGGUACGGAACAACAGUUGGAAACGACUGCUAAUACCGUAUGUGCCCUACGGGGGAAAGAUUUAUCGCCUUUGGAUUAGCCCGCGUUAGAUUAGAUAGUUGGUGGGGUAAUGGCCUACCAAGUCUACGAUCUAUAGCUGGUUUGAGAGGAUGAUC
rnacentral:rRNA from 1 species